CUUAAAGGAGGAGAGGAUUACUUUAGCUCGUGAAUUCAUGGACUUCUGUCCAUAGCCAGAUGGUUCCACGGCAGGAACAGCAUAGUGGAAGGG
rnacentral:miRNA from 1 species